GAUGAACGCUGGCGGCGUGCCUAAUACAUGCAAGUCGAGCGAACGGACGAGAAGCUUGCUUCUCUGAUGUUAGCGGCGGACGGGUGAGUAACACGUGGAUAACCUACCUAUAAGAUUGGGAUAACUUCGGGAAACCGGAGCUAAUACCGGAUGAUAUUUUGAACCGCAUGGUUCAAAAGUGAAAGACGGUCUUGCUGUCACUUAUAGAUGGAUCCGCGCUGCAUUAGCUAGUUGGUAAGGUAACGGCUUACCAAGGCAACGAUGCAUAGCCGACCUGAGAGGGUGAUCGGCCACACUGGAACUGAGACACGGUCCAGACUCCUAAGGGAGGCAGCAGUAGGGAAUCUUCCGCAAUGGGCGAAAGCCUGACGGAGCAACGCCGCGUGAGUGAUGAAGGUCUUCGGAUCGUAAAACUCUGUUAUUAGGGAAGAACAUAUGUGUAAGUAACUGUGCACAUCUUGACGGUACCUAAUCAGAAAGCCACGGCUAACUACGUG
rnacentral:rRNA from 1 species